AAGGCUUCAGCAUGACCUUGCCAGAACUAUAAGUCUCUAAGCCCCGACGAGUAGGGUGGCGUGCCGGUGUGCGAAGAAGGCCAAGACGUGAGUCAGGCUGGAGCCGCCGGUAGUGCAGAUCUUGGUGGUAGUAGCAAGUACUCUGGUGAACCAACCUGGAGCUGUGAGGUCUGGAUCAGGGUUCCAUGUCAACAGUGAUUGAACAUGGGUGAGUCGAUCCUAAGCCAACUGUGAAAGCAGUGACAUUCCGACAAAGGGGCCUCUUCGUGCCGCACUUACACCCCCCGACAACGUGUUCCAAAGUAAAUACACAUGCAUGUAUAUAUCUCUCUCUCUCUAUGUGAGAGCUAGAAUGGUGUUUGCUCUCUGGUGUGGUCUGGUUUGUCCUUGUCUGUUAUGGUACUGCAUAUGCACACCAAUAUGCUGCCAAGAGCGCGCGCACACACGGUGAUCACCAACAAAACUCGUGUGAGUGUGUGCGUGCAAAAGUCUGUCGUAUCCCAUUACGCUCAAGAAGCGUUGCGCCCACGCAAGUCAAAAAAAUGCAUGUGUAUAUAAAAAAAACAGAGAGAGAGAGCGCUUGAAGCGGGCAAGCGAAGCAUUGUGAGAGAAAAAGGGGUGCGCGUGAGUGGCACAAAUAUGCACGAACGCUCUCUGCGUCUGGUUCUAUGUCCGGCGAAAGGGAAUGGGGACUUUGUUCCUUGACCGGUCCCGGCACCCUCGAUAGGCUUUGCCAAUCAAUGGUCCAUGCAAAUGGAACCAGGCCACAGCCGCCGGCAGUCGCCCGAGGAAGAGUUUUCUUUUCUGCUUAACGCACGAGAUCAUCCCUGGAAACAGUUCGGCUGGCGAAAGGGUGCCCCGUUGCGGCAGAGCGCCACGACUGUCGUGCGCGUCUCGGUGUUCCUGCCGGUCCGUGAAGACGUGGUCGAGGGGAUUGCUUGUAUCAACUGAACGCCCGACAAGUUCGGGACGGACCGUACCCUAUAUCCGCAUCUGGUCUCCAAGGUUAGUAGCCUCUGCAGAGUCAGACACAUGUAGGUAAGGGAAGUCGGCAAACUCGAUCCGUAACUUCGGGAAAAGGAUUGGCUCUGAGGGCCGAGCUGGGCCGGGCCUUGCCUGCAAAGCAGUACCUAUAGUGACCGGAGUUUCAGGGGUGCGAGGGGCUCUAGUAGCUGUCCGGGCGCGCGUGUUCGCGCGCGUGUGUGGGCACGAACGAGUCUACCGCUCCGCUCCAACCACGAACGGCUGUGACGGCAAGGGCUCUGGGCGGGAGCGUUCAAACCGUUGGCCCCCAGCGUGUCUGGGUGGCGGCGGUGCUUCGUCUGACCCAUACGGCUCCAGCGGCUAGCGGCUAACUCAGAACUGUCAUGGACCAAGGGAAUCCGACUGUCUAAUUAAAACAAAGCGUCGUGACGGCCCCUGUUGGGUGUUGACGCGACGUGAUUUCUGCCCAGUGCUCUAA
rnacentral:rRNA from 1 species